CCCUGAUCGCAUCUUUGUGGGUGGCCUCCCGUACUACUUCACCGAGGCUCAAGUGCGGGAGUUGCUUGAAUCCUUUGGACCGUUGCGAGGAUUUGAUCUUGUGAAGGAUAGGGAGACAGGCAACUCGAAAGGAUAUGCCUUCUGUGUAUACCAGGAUCUUAAUGUCACCGACAUUGCCUGUGCUGCCCUGAAUGGUAUCAAGAUGGGAGACAAGACCCUCACUGUUAGGCGAGCAAAUCAAGGCACUUCUCAACCAAGGCCAGAGCAAGAAACCAUCCUGUUGCACGCACAACAACAAGUGCAGAUGCAGGUACACUCAGCUGUUGAAAAUAUAUAUUUUACAAAAUGACAGUGAGUUUAUAUUUCCCUUCCAAAUUUUGACCGUUGCUUUCUGACAGAAACUCGUGCUACAAGUUGGAGGCGCUCUACCGACAAAGGUGGUAUGCCUGACCCAGGUGGUUUCAGCAGAUGAACUGAGAGAUGAUGAGGAAUACGAGGAUAUUUUGGAAGAUAUGAGGGAAGAAGGGCGCAAAUAUGGUAAACAAAAUGAAAUCCAUGGACUUGCCUUCAUCUUGUUUUAAACCCUUGCAUUCUGUAAUCAUUGUGUUCAGUUACUGAACUUGUUUUGUUUUGUGUGUUGUCUUUUUGUGUGUCUUUUUUGUAGUCCACAUAAAUGCCAUUGCAGAGUCUUUUGUAGUCCAACCCCAUGCAAUAUUGGCAAUCGGGCUUAACCUACAGAAGACACACUAUUCUUUUUCAAUUGGAUAUGAUUGAUCAUAUAUCAUGUAUUUCUUGUUUAUGUAUGUACUCACUAACACUUGGACAGGUAACUUGGUUAAAGCUGUCAUCCCACGACCUGACCCCAGCGGCGCUGCUGUUCCUGGAGUUGGAAAGGUGAGUUCUGAUUUUGAUCAUACUCAUUACUGAUGUGUUGAGCAGGAACAAAAUUAUUUUGAUCCAUGGACUUUGUUGUCCGUGUUGCAGGUGUUUCUGGAAUAUGCAGAUAUCGACGGCUCGACCAAGGCGAAGGUCGGGAUGCAUGGCAGGAAGUUUGGCGGGAACCAGGUGGUGGCCGUGUUCUACCCUGAAAACAAGUUUGCUGAUGGAGAUUAUGAUGAUUAGAUGAAGUCCUCUGCUCAGUUGUCACCCGUGCCAUGCGUUUGCUUAGUUUUCAAAUUGAAUCCUUUUUUAAUCUGUUUGUGGAACCGUCUGCUCGAUAUAUGGUAUAAUUUUAUUUGUCAUGUACAUCUACCGCUGCUGCCCUUGCCUACAAGUACUGUAUCCAAACUUGAUCAGUGCUGGUAUCUUCCCCUUACUGGAUGUGGGAAAGGAUAUAUAAUGACUGAUAUUAUGCUAUUAAAGGAUUGUAGGCAUGUUUCAAAUUAUUACUGGACCUGUGGCAUGGUUAUGUGGUUAUAUUUGGUCACUUUGUUCAUCAGUUCCAAU
rnacentral:lncRNA from 1 species